CAGGUUUUUUCUCUUCGAAAUGUAAUAAGACAAUUGCUUUCCUGGCCGCCACGUUACUGUGUACUCAAUCUUUAAGUUGCCGAAUGUUGUUUUCACCACAUCAGAAAACACCUCAGAACUCACUUCAGAACUCACCUCAGAAUUCACCCCAGAACUCACCUUAGAAUUCACUAUAAAUAGCUAAAAAA